rnacentral:rRNA from 1 species
CGGAAAGGCCCUUCGGGGUACUCGAGCGGCGAACGGGUGAGUAACACGUGAGCAACCUGCCCCUGACUCUGGGAUAAGCCCGGGAAACUGGGUCUAAUACCGGAUAUGACCGCCCCCGGCAUCGGGUGGUGGUGGAAAGUUUUUCGGUUGGGGAUGGGCUCGCGGCCUAUCAGCUUGUUGGUGGGGUAGUGGCCUACCAAGGCGACGACGGGUAGCCGGCCUGAGAGGGCGACCGGCCACACUGGGACUGAGACACGGCCCAGACUCCUACGGGAGGCAGCAGUGGGGAAUAUUGCGCAAUGGGCGGAAGCCUGACGCAGCGACGCCGCGUGGGGGAUGACGGCCUUCGGGUUGUAAACCUCUUUCAGCAGGGACGAAGUUGACGUGUACCUGCAGAAGAAGCGCCGGCUAACUACGUGCCAGCAGCC